AUGUUAGACGGAGGAGAAUUCGGAUUUGAUGCUUAUUCACUUGGUUCAGGUUUAUGAGGUUUUUGUAACUAGCAAGUUAGGAAGGAGAGGAUCUAGUGAUAUAGCAAAAUUUUAUUUGCUCAUUUAAGAGUCUCAACAACAUAUGCAUACUAUGCCUUCUUUUUCAUUGUUAUUUUCCUGUCCAGGAACGGUGUUAUCGAUCGUAGAAAACUCUUAAACGCUAAUUACUUGUUGCUUUUAAAGGGCCGGUUCUGUGAGUUCA
rnacentral:misc_RNA from 1 species